CCUACGGGAGGCAGCAGUCGAGAAUCAUUCACAAUGGGGGAAACCCUGAUGGUGCGACGCCGCGUGGGGGAAUGAAGGUCUUCGGAUUGUAAACCCCUGUCAUGUGGGAGCAAAUUAAAAAGAUAGUACCACAAGAGGAAGAGACGGCUAACUCUGUGCCAGCAGCCGCGGUAAUACAGAGGUCUCAAGCGUUGUUCGGAAUCACUGGGCGUAAAGCGUGCGUAGGCUGUUUCGUAAGGCGUGUGUGAAAGGCGCGGGCUCAACCCGCGGACGGCACAUGAUACUGCGAGACUAGAGUGAUGGAGGGGGAACCGGAAUUCUCGGUGUAGCAGUGAAAUGCGUAGAUAUCAAGAGGAACACUCGUGGCGAAGGCGGGUUCCUGGACAUUAACUGACGCUGAGGCACGAAAGCGAGGGGAGCGAAAGGGAUUAGAUACCCCAGUAGUC
rnacentral:rRNA from 1 species